AUGUCCACCAUCUCAUCCAGUAUGAUAUCUUCGGAUCUCACCUCGCACUGCGGGUCCUUUACAACAAGCAGUGAUCCCCUCCGGCUUGCCAAUCAAAACCAAGUAUGGCCUUCUUUCUAUGCUUAGGUCACCGCCAUUAUUACCUCCAACAAGCGACUACAUCGUUAGAAGGACAAGGUUGUUCCUUCAAAGUGGUGCAGUAGUACGCGGUGGAGCAGCUGGUUGCUCCCAUCUUCAAAGGAACUCAACAGUUCGUGCCCUACCCUUCAAAGUCUUGCGAUAGUACGCAGUCAAGCACUAAGCUGUGGUGCUGUCAGAUCGAUACUCUAGUGGUCAGAGGAAGGGGAUGCCUAUGAUCGAAAUAAAGGUCUUUGUGUUUCCUCUCUUUUGUUUUCUGGUGUGUUACAACCCAACCUUUUCGGUCCACCAGCUCGUUGCAAGUGCAAAUCACCUGAUUGCUACCAUGGUGAGUGGGUUUACUACUGCUUGUGUUUCCCUGGUCAAUUGAAUUCAAGUGGAAUGGACAUUUGUGGUUACACUUCAAAGGGUGGCGUUGAGAUAUUGAGGAGUUACGAUCAGAAAUUAUCUAGAGGAAAUGUUGCUCAGGAGUUGUUAGAUGAAAUGCAUCAAGAGACCCUCGCUGAUUGGAAUUCAAUAAUCUCUGUGUACUCAGAGUUGGGAUGAGAAGGAUAAGCUUUUGGUGGCUUUUCUUGCAUGGAAUUUUCAAGGGGAAAAAAACAAGGCAGACGCUUUGAAGAAUGCUUAUGUUUUAAUGAGGAGACAUGUGGCCAUUGCUUCCUUUUUGCUUGGAGGUGAUACUUGUUCAGCUCUCAAUGUAUGCUCAAAGAACCUUAGGGAUGAACAUCUUGCAAUAGUAGCUCCUUAGCUUGUUGAAGGGCGUGGUGGACUAUUAUAGCAUCAUCUAAUGACAAGCUUUUAAUUCCAUCAGCCAUUGAGUGACACUUUAUCAAGCUUCCAUGUGCAAGUUAAUGGCUGGUGCGCAACAGCUUAAAGAACUACUGCUAUAAAGUGGGAACUGUUCUUGUGUUUGGGUGAUGUUACGAAUAGAAUGAAUCUUAUCCCUGUAGCCUGAAUGAAGGCGACAUGCUUUGCAAUAGUUGUUUUUGGUGGGGAACCUAUGAAACCAGACUACAAAAAUGUACCUCUUGUUGUGUUCAGCAAACCACCCCUUUUUUAUAGCGGGCCUAAAAAAUGGUGUGGAAAAAUAUGGUGUGACUGCUAGAAUGAGAAAAAUCUUCAUUUUUGAUCCUAGUGAUGGGACAGUUAUAGGCAAAGAUACCACACACAUUGUAGACAAGAUGCUUUUAUGAGAGAUAGUUUGUCACAAUCUA